UACGAAGGGGGCUAGCGUUGUUCGGAAUCACUGGGCGUAAAGGGCGCGUAGGCGGCCGAUCAAGUCGGGGGUGAAAGCCUGUGGCUCAACCACAGAAUUGCCUUCGAUACUGCAUGGCUUGAGACCGGAAGAGGUUAGUGGAACUGCGAGUGUAGAGGUGAAAUUCGUAGAUAUUCGCAAGAACACCAGUGGCGAAGGCGGCUCACUGGCCCGAUACUGACGCUGAGGUGCGAAAGCGUGGGGAGCAAACAGGG
rnacentral:rRNA from 1 species